UACAGAGGUCCCAAGCGUUGCUCGGAUUCACUGGGCGUAAAGGGUGCGUAGGCGGUCGGGUAAGUCUGACGUGAAAUCUCCAAGCUCAACUUGGAAAUGGCGUCGGAUACUAUUCGGCUCGAGGAAUGGAGGGGAGACUGGAAUUCUCGGUGUAGCAGUGAAAUGCGUAGAUAUCGAGAGGAACACCAGUGGCGAAGGCGAGUCUCUGGACAUUUCCUGACGCUGAGGCACGAAAGCCAGGGGAGCAAACGGG
rnacentral:rRNA from 1 species